rnacentral:rRNA from 1 species
GGAUGAACGCUAGCGGCAGGCCUAUACUUGCAAGUCGGACGGGAUCCAUCGGAGAGCUUGCUCGAAGAUGGUGAGAGUGGCGCACGGGUGCGUAACGCGUGAGCAACCUACCUCUAUCAGGGGGAUAGCCUCUCGAAAGAGAGAUUAACACCGCAUAANAUCAACAGNUGGCAUNGUCGGUUGAUUAAAUAUUUAUAGGAUAGAGAUGGGCUCGCGUGACAUAGCUAGUUGGUAGGGUAACGGCUUACCAAGGCGACGAUGUCUAGGGGCUCUGAGAGGAGAAUCCCCCACACUGGUACUGAGACACGGACCAGACUCCUACGGGAGGCAGCAGUAAGGAAUAUUGGUCAAUGGGCGGAAGCCUGAACCAGCCAUGCCGCGUGCAGGAUGACUGCCCUAUGGGUUGUAAACUGCUUUUGUCCAGGAAUAAACCUAAAUACGUGUAUUUAGCUGAAUGUACUGGAAGAAUAAGGAUCGGCUAACUCCGUGCCAGCAGCCGCGGUAAUACGGAGGAUCCGAGCGUUAUCCGGAUUUAUUGGGUUUAAAGGGUGCGUAGGCGGCCUAUUAAGUCAGGGGUGAAAUACGGUGGCUCAACCAUCGCAGUGCCUUUGAUACUGAUGGGCUUGAAUCCAUUUGAAGUGGGCGGAAUAAGACAAGUAGCGGUGAAAUGCAUAGAUAUGUCUUAGAACUCCGAUUGCGAAGGCAGCUCACUAAGCUGGUAUUGACGCUGAUGCACGAAAGCGUGGGGAUCGAACAGGAUUAGAUACCCUGGUAGUCCACGCCCUAAACGAUGAUAACUCGAUGUUGGCGAUAGACAGCCAGCGUCCCAGCGAAAGCGUUAAGUUAUCCACCUGGGGAGUACGCCCGCAAGGGUGAAACUCAAAGGAAUUGACGGGGGCCCGCACAAGCGGAGGAGCAUGUGGUUUAAUUCGAUGAUACGCGAGGAACCUUACCCGGGCUUGAAAGUUAGUGAAGAGUGCAGAGACGCACUCGUCCUUCGGGACACGAAACUAG